GCUGACUAAGAUUCGCCAUGCAUGUCUCAGUAUUCCAGCUACAAUAGCGUAUAUUGAAGUUGCUGCGGUUGAAAAGUUCGUAGUUGGAUUUCUGCCAAGGACGACCGGUCCGCCCUUUGGGUGAGCACCUGGCUCGGCCUCGGCAUCUUCUUGGGGAGCGUGGCUGUACUUGACUGUGUGGCGCGGUGUCCAGGACUUUUACUUUGAGGAAAUUAGAGUGUUUCAAGCAGGCUCACGCCUUGAAUACAUUAGCAUGGAAUAAUAAGAUAAGACCUUGGUUUAUUUUGUUGGUUUCUAGACCCGAGGUAAUGGUUAAUAGGGAUAGUUGGGGGCAUUCGUAUUUAACUGUCAGAGGUGAAAUUCUUGGAUUUGUUAAGGACGGACCACUGCGAAAGCAUUUGCCAAGAAUGUUUUCAUUGAUCAAGAACGAAAGUUAGGGGAUCGAAGACGAUCAGAUACCGUCCUAGUCUUAACCAUAAACCAUGCCGACUAGAGAUUGG
rnacentral:rRNA from 1 species